rnacentral:rRNA from 1 species
UACAGAGGUCCCAAGCGUUGUUCGGAUUCACUGGGCGUAAAGGGUGCGUAGGUGGUUGUGCAAGUCUGAUGUGAAAUCCCUCGGCUUAACCGGGGAACUGCGUCUGAUACUGGAUGGCUUGAGUUUGGGAGAGGGACGCGGAAUUCCAGGUGUGAGCGGUGAAAUGCGUAGAUAUCAGGAGGAACACCGAUGGCGAAGGCAGGUCUCUGGGCAUUAACUGACGCUGAGGAGCGAAAGCAUGGGGAGCGAACAGG